rnacentral:tRNA from 1 species
AAAGUUUUAGCUUAAUUAAAGUGACUGUUUUGCGUACAGAAGAUGUGGGUUAGUGUCCUGCAAGUUUUA